rnacentral:tRNA from 1 species
CAAGGAAUAGUUUAUAAUAAAAUUUUAAUUUUGGAGAUUAAUGAAGAGAAAUAUUCUUUUCCUUGA